GAAGGUAUAGUUCAUUGUCAGAAUGCAUGCUUAGCGUGCACAAGAUCCUGGGUUCAAUUCCCAGUACCUCUA
rnacentral:tRNA from 1 species